GUGUCAGCAGCCGCGGUAAUACGUAGGGUGCGAGCGUUAAUCGGAAUUACUGGGCGUAAAGCGUGCGCAGGCGGUUCGCCAAGUCUGAUGUGAAAGCCCCGGGCUCAACCUGGGAAUGGCAUUGGAAACUGGCGGGCUGGAGUGUGGCAGAGGGGGGUGGAAUUCCGCGUGUAGCAGUGAAAUGCGUAGAGAUGCGGAGGAACACCGAUGGCGAAGGCAGCCCCCUGGGCUGACACUGACGCUCAGGCACGAAAGCGUGGGGAGCAAACAGGAUUAGAUACCCUGGUAGUCCACGCCCUAAACGAUGUCAACUAGGUGUUGGGGGAGCAAUUUCUCAGUACCGUAGCUAACGCGUGAAGUUGACCGCCUGGGGAGUACGGCCGCAAGGUUAAA
rnacentral:rRNA from 1 species